rnacentral:rRNA from 1 species
UACGUAGGGGGCAAGCGUUGUCCGGAAUCAUUGGGCGUAAAGAGCGUGUAGGCGGCCCGGUAAGUCCGCUGUGAAAGUCCAGGGCUCAACCCUGGGAUGCCGGUGGAUACUGUCGGGCUCGAGUCCGGAAGAGGAGUGUGGAAUUCCUGGUGUAGCGGUGAAAUGCGCAGAUAUCAGGAGGAACACCGGUGGCGAAGGCGGCAUCCUGGACCGAUACUGACGCUGAGGAGCGAAAGCCAGGGGAGCAAACGGG